ACUAAUUCUUGGGUUCAUCUCCUAGGGUGAAUCUAUAGAUUCACCACCCACUAAUAAGUUGCCAACUCAUAUCCAGUUUUAAAAAAAAAGAAGGUAAAAAAUAAUUAGAAAUAGUAUUAUCAACUAAUAAAAAGGAAAACGAGAAAAAAGGAAACAGAAAAAAAAAUAGAACACGACGGCUUAUAACCCUUAUUUUUGACCAAGGAGAGUCACGGAGAAGAAGAGGAAGAGCAAAGAAGAGUCGCAGAGAAGAAGCUACAAAGUAGUUAACAUAAUUGACCAUAUAGGUGUUAGAUUUUCUUUAAUCACGUUAAAUUCUCAAAAACUAAUGAAUUUGGUAAAGAUGUUUUUGAUUUCAUCUCUACUGGAUACGUCCUUAAAGCCAGUCACGUAGAAGAAGAGGAGCAAAGAAGAAUUGUAGAGAAGAAGCUACAAAAAAGGAACAAAAAGCAGAAGAAGAAGAAGGAAGCUUGAAGCGUAAGAAACGAAGAAACAAGAAGAAGUGACCAAGGAGAGUCACGUAGAAGAAGAAAAUCAAUGUGAGAGAAGAUGCCACUUGACAUUGGUUACAAACCAAAGAGAAUUUGAGUAGUUAAUGUGUGGUGUUGUAAAAAAGAUAAAUCCAAUUCUCAUAAGAAUAAGAGUUGGAGUAAGUAAAAAUGUAUGUAUAUGUGGUCUUGUAAGAAAGAUAAAUCCAAUUCUCAUAAGAAUAAGAGUUGGAGUAAGUAAAAAUGUAGACAUACAAAGUUAUCUCUCUUCUCUCUCUACAAGAACAAACCAAACGUGAAAGAGUAAAGAGAGUGUGUGCUAGCUUGUGUCAUGAUUGAAACACAAGCAGAACUGAGAGAGUAAAAACAGAGACAAAGAGAGAACAAAAAAAAAGAGUAAGAGCAAGAGCAAGAGUGGGCUGGCUGUGAGGUGAGGCCAAGACAAAAGUUCAACAAUUUCAACAAAAAAACGAGUUACUAUAUCAAAGAAGUCUUCUAAUCUAAUCAAUAAAAUUUUGAUUACAGGACUAUUAAAAAUGUUGGAUCAAGUCUCUGUUAUGGUUAGAACCAUGAUUGAAAUUAAAGUCAGCAAGAACGCUCUCCGUAUGUUCUAUGCGCUUGUGUACAAACUAGACCACGAGCUUCUCAAAGUUGGAUUCGCAUUUCAUUUCCAAAGGACGGCACACAUAAGUGAGCACAUGUAUACUGACCACCAAGAAUAGUUUUUUGACCACUUAAUUGAUUAUUCUCCAUUCUUUCUCAAACUUUCUGUAAAACCAAAAGCAAGAACAAUCUUAUAUAUAAAUUGUUAGGGUUAGUUGACCAAAAAAAAAAAGAAAUAGUUUGUUAAGGUUACAAGUACAUUGGACGGAGGUUUAUUCAAAAUUAGAUCUGAAAGCAAGGAAUUGGAGACUCGAAAAUCACAAACACAGCUCGUCUCUUCUCUGUAAUCUAUCUUCUUUGUAACCGAUAAAGAAGAAGAACUUUUUACCACGGCUUUAAACGAAUUUGACGUUUGCCACCUCAAUUAUGUUAGAAAAUCUAACAAUUAUAUGGUCAAUUAUGUUAACGACUCUGUACCUUCUUCUCUGCUACUCUUAUU